rnacentral:rRNA from 1 species
AGAGAUGCACUGGGUUUAAAGCGUGCGCAGGCGGUUUUGUAAGACAGAGGUGAAAUCCCCGGGCUCAACCUGGGAACUGCCUUUGUGACUGCAAAGCUGGAGUGCGGCAGAGGGGGAUGGAAUUCCGCGUGUAGCAGUGAAAUGCGUAGAUAUGCGGAGGAACACCGAUGGCGAAGGCAAUCCCCUGGGCCUGCACUGACGCUCAUGCACGAAAGCGUGGGGAGCAAACA